CCUACGGGUGGCAGCAGUGAGGAAUAUUGGUCAAUGGGCGCGAGCCUGAACCAGCCAAGUCGCGUGAGGGAUGAAGGUUCUAUGGAUCGUAAACCUCUUUUAUAAGGGAAUAAAGUGUGGGACGUGUCCUAUUUUGUAUGUACCUUAUGAAUAAGGAUCGGCUAACUCCGUGCCAGCAGCCGCGGUAAUUCGGAGGAUCCGAGCGUUAUUCGGAUUUAUUGGGUUUAAAGGGUGCGUAGGCGGCCUUUUAAGUCAGGGGGGAAAGUCUGGGGCCCAACCAUAGAAGUGCCGUUGAAACCGGGGGGCUUGAGUAUGUUUGAGGCAGGCGGAAUGCGUGGUGUAGCGGUGAAAUGCUUAGAUAUCACGCAGAACCCCGAUUGCGAAGGCAGCCUGCCAAGCCAUGACUGACGCUGAUGCACGAAAGCGUGGGGAUCAAACAGGAUUAGAUACCCGUGUAGUC
rnacentral:rRNA from 1 species